rnacentral:rRNA from 1 species
GGGUUGUGAGGUUAAGCGACUAAGCGUACACGGUGGAUGCCCUGGCAGUCAGAGGCGAUGAAGGACGUGCUAAUCUGCGAUAAGCGUCGGUGAGGUGAUAUGAACCGUUAUAACCGGCGAUUUCCGAAUGGGGAAACCCAGUGUGUUUCGACACACUAUCAUUAACUGAAUCCAUAGGUUAAUGAGGCGAACCGGGGGAACUGAAACAUCUAAGUACCCCGAGGAAAAGAAAUCAACCGAGAUUCCCCCAGUAGCGGCGAGCGAACGGGGAGGAGCCCAGAGCCUGAAUCAGUGUGUGUGUUAGUGGAAGCGUCUGGAAAGGCGCGCGAUACAGGGUGACAGCCCCGUACACAAAAAUGCACAUACUGUGAGCUCGAUGAGUAGGGCGGGACACGUGGUAUCCUGUCUGAAUAUGGGGGGACCAUCCUCCAAGGCUAAAUACUCCUGACUGACCGAUAGUGAACCAGUACCGUGAGGGAAAGGCGAAAAGAACCCCGGCGAGGGGAGUGAAAAAGAACCUGAAACCGUGUACGUACAAGCAGUGGGAGCCUCUUAAUGGGGUGACUGCGUACCUUUUGUAUAAUGGGUCAGCGACUUAUAUUCUGUAGCAAGGUUAACCGAAUAGGGGAGCCGAAGGGAAACCGAGUCUUAACUGGGCGUUAAGUUGCAGGGUAUAGACCCGAAACCCGGUGAUCUAGCCAUGGGCAGGUUGAAGGUUGGGUAACACUAACUGGAGGACCGAACCGACUAAUGUUGAAAAAUUAGCGGAUGACUUGUGGCUGGGGGUGAAAGGCCAAUCAAACCGGGAGAUAGCUGGUUCUCCCCGAAAGCUAUUUAGGUAGCGCCUCGUGAAUUCAUCUCCGGGGGUAGAGCACUGUUUCGGCAAGGGGGUCAUCCCGACUUACCAACCCGAUGCAAACUGCGAAUACCGGAGAAUGUUAUCACGGGAGACACACGGCGGGUGCUAACGUCCGUCGUGAAGAGGGAAACAACCCAGACCGCCAGCUAAGGUCCCAAAGUCAUGGUUAAGUGGGAAACGAUGUGGGAAGGCCCAGACAGCCAGGAUGUUGGCUUAGAAGCAGCCAUCAUUUAAAGAAAGCGUAAUAGCUCACUGGUCGAGUCGGCCUGCGCGGAAGAUGUAACGGGGCUAAACCAUGCACCGAAGCUGCGGCAGCGACGCUUAUGCGUUGUUGGGUAGGGGAGCGUUCUGUAAGCCUG